rnacentral:rRNA from 1 species
AUGGCUGGCCUGCGGCGCAAGAAGCACCGCCGCCGAACCCCAAAGAACACCACCGAACAACCACCGUCAAUCCCAAGCAGCUGCACCACCAUCAGCACCAUCACCACCACAGUGAGCAACAAACACCUCAUCGACCAUGCGGCCCUAAAGAUGAAGCCUUCAAGAAGGCCCACGACGCCGAUUAUGCCGACAUCAUCCAUACAAAGAAGACAUGGACUAGGGGUUCCCCCCGGGGUGCCAACGAGGAGGAUUAAACAACAUGACAACGAUGCCUCCAAGAAGGUUAGCGACGCCCACGAGCGCCGCCGUCGCCGGCUCCGGAUGAAGCAAGGCUUUCACACCAGUUGA